UGGGGAAUCUUGGACAAUGGGCGCAAGCCUGAUCCAGCCAUGCCGCGUGAGUGAAGAAGGCCUUCGGGUUGUAAAGCUCUUUUGGCGGGGAAGAUAAUGACGGUACCCGCAGAAUAAGCCCCGGCUAACUUCGUGCCAGCAGCCGCGGUAAUACGAAGGGGGCUAGCGUUGUUCGGAAUUACUGGGCGUAAAGCGCACGUAGGCGGAUUGACAAGUCAGGGGUGAAAUCCCGGGGCUCAACCUCGGAACUGCCUCUGAUACUGUCAGUCUAGAGUCCGGAAGAGGUGGGUGGAAUUCCUAGUGUAGAGGUGAAAUUCGCAGAUAUUAGGAAGAACACCGGUGGCGAAGGCGGCCCACUGGUCCGGUACUGACGCUGAGGUGCGAAAGCGUGGGGAGCAAACAGGAUUAGAUACCCCCGUAGUCCCUGAGCGGGCUGGCAAGGCGCAU
rnacentral:rRNA from 1 species